rnacentral:sRNA from 1 species
UCCUAGCCCUGAUAGAAGCGGCAUCCUGUUGUGCCAGGGUUUGGCACGACAGAUAUAGCGGAUAGCAGGAAAAUGC